rnacentral:rRNA from 1 species
AUACGUAGGGCGCGAGCGUUGUCCGGAAUUACUGGGUGUAAAGGGAGCGUAGGCGGGACUGCAAGUCAGAUGUGAAAUACCGGGGCCUAACCCCGGAGCUGCAUUUGAAACUGUGGUUCUUGAGUGAAGUAGAGGCAAGCGGAAUUCCUGGUGUAGCGGUGAAAUGCGUAGAUAUCAGGAGGAACACCGGUGGCGAAGGCGGCUUGCUGGGCUUAUACGGACGCUGAGGCUCGAAAGCGUGGGUAGCAAACAGGAUUAGAUACCCUGGUAGUCCACUCUGUAAACGAUGAUUACUAGGUGUGGGGGGACUGACCCCUUCCGUGCCGCAGUUAACACAAUAAGUAAUCCACCUGGGGAGUACGGCCGCAAGGUUGAAACUCAAAUGAAUUGACGGGG